GAGGAAGGUGGGGAUGACGUCAAAUCAUCAUGCCCUUUAUGUCCUGGGCUACGCACGUGCUACAAUGGGCGGUACAACGGGAUGCGAGACCGCGAGGUGGAGCCAAUCCCCUAAAACCGUUCGUAGUUCGGAUUGCAGGCUGCAACUCGCCUGCAUGAAGCCGGAAUUGCUAGUAAUCGCGGAUCAGCAUGCCGCGGUGAAUCCGUUCCCGGGCCUUGUACACACCGCCCGUCACACCACGAGAGUUGGCAACACCCGAAGUCGGUGGGGUAACCUUAGGGAGCCAGCCGCCGAAGGUGGGGUUGAUGAUUGGGGUGAAGUCGUAACAAGGUAGCCGUAA
rnacentral:rRNA from 1 species